AUUGAACGCUGGCGGCAGGCCUAACACAUGCAAGUCGAACGAGUGGCGGACGGGUGAGUAAUGUCUGGGAAACUCCCCGAGUGAGGGGGGUCACUACUGGACACUGUAUCUAAUACCGCAUACCAUCGGAUGUGCCCAUAUGGGAUUAGCUAGUAGGUGGGGUAACGGCUCACCUAGGCGACGAUCCCUAGCUGGUCUGAGAGGAUGACCAGCCACACUGGAACUGAGACACGGUCCAGACUCCUACGGGAGGCAGCAGUGGGGAAUAUUGCACAAUGGGCGCAAGCCUGAUGCAGCCAUGCCGCGUGUAUGAAGAAGGCCUUAGGGUUGUAAAGUACUUUCAGCGGGGAGGCGUUACUGGCAGAAGAAGCACCGGCUAACUCCGUGCCAGCAGCCGCGGUAAUAC
rnacentral:rRNA from 1 species